rnacentral:ncRNA from 1 species
GGGGAUUUCCUUGAGUGGAGCCUGCAGCUUAAUUUGAGUCAAAAAGGGGAAACUUACCAGGUCUAGACAUAGUAAGGAUUGACAGACUGAGAGCUCUUUGUUGAUUCUAUGGGUGAUGGUGCAUGGCCGUUCUUAGUUGGUGGAGUGAUUUGUCUGAUUAUUUCUAUUAAGGAAUGAGACCUCAGCCUGCUAACUAGCUAUGCGGAGGUAUCCCUUUGCGGCCAGCUUUUUAGAGGGACUAUAGCCUUUUAGGCUGCGAAAGUUUGAGGCAUUAACAGGCCUGUGAUUCCCUUAGAUAUUCAGGGCCGCACGCACACUACAUUGAUAUAUUCAACGAGUUUAUAGCCUUGGACGACAGGCCCGGGUAAUCUUUGAAAUUUCAUCGUGAAGGGGAUAGAUCAUUUCAAUUGUUGGUAUUCAACGAGGAAUUCCUAGUAAGCGCAAGUCAUCAGCUCACGUUGACUACGUCCCUGCCC